rnacentral:tRNA from 1 species
GCCCUCGUGGUGAAACGGAUAUCACACUUGGCUUCGGACCAAGAAUUUUGGGUUCGAAUCCCGACGAGGGCACUA